GAAAUGUGCUCUUAUUGAGUGGUUCUCACAUGGGGAGGAGAGUGAUUCUGCAGCAGAGUUUUAAGGAAUCUCUAUACUUCUAUCAACAAACUAUACCUGGAGGAUAAUAUCAUUUUGAGGAGGAGCCCUCCCCACCCCAAGGGCCCCAGCUCCGGCAGCCAAUCUCCACUACCCAAAUGCUGCCACUUUCCAGACAUUUUCCACUGCUUGGGCCAAGUCUCACUCAUGAGUGAAGUCCCACGGAACUCAGCUUCUGGUGCUCAGUGAUUUGUCUGGUUUCCUUCUGAGGACUGACCUUUUGUGGUGCUUGGAGAACCAUAAGUGAUGCUGGAGAUUGGAAGGAGGACUAUUAAACAAUCAGUAAACAGUCAAGGAAACAGAAGAAAUUUGUACUGCUUUGAGAAACACUUCAAUUUUCAUAACUCUACCAUAAGAAGAAUGAUGAAUAUAUUACUCAAAUAAUAAAUGUAGUGGAAACACUUUCAACUCCUUCGUCUGCUGUUACCUUUAUAGUUUAAAAUGUAAGUUAAAGCAAGAUGUUCAACCUGUAAGCCACAUUUACUUCAAAGUAAUAAAUACCACUGAUCUGGAACAUUAUAAAUUCAGUAUCAUUGUAGGACUGAUGAA